UACGGGGGGGGCAAGCUUGUUCGGAAUUACUGGGCGUAAAGGCUCGUAGGCGGCCAACUAAGUCAGACGUGAAAUCCCUCGGCUUAACCGGGGAACUGCGUCUGAUACUGGAUGGCUUGAGGUUGGGAGAGGGAUGCGGGAAUUCCAGGUGUAGCGGUGAAAUGCGUAGAUAUCUGGAGGAACACCGGUGGCGAAGGCGGCAUCCUGGACCAAUUCUGACGCUGAGGAGCGAAAGCCAGGGGAGCAAACGGG
rnacentral:rRNA from 1 species